GCCCGGUUAGCUCAGUCGGUACCUCUACGUAGAGCACCAGACUCUUAAUCUUGUUGUCGCGGGUUCGAGCCCCGCACUGGGCU
rfam:Caenorhabditis briggsae complete genome, chrI